GUCGGAAAACCAAAUUAAAAAUUAGACACUAGAUCCCUAUUUCCCCAAUUUCUUUCACGAUCUGUCUCUCUCUAUUUUUCCUCUCUACUUUCUCUUCCACUGACCUAUCGACUGACGGCGGCAAACAGUGGUUGAAGACGGCAGCAAACGGUGGUUGACGACGGCAGGCAUCAGUGCGAAGAUCUGUGAAAUCCCCUCUUCUCGGUCUUAGGGAAGCAUUGUUAGCAUUGUUGCUGAGAAUGUGGAAGACAAGAUCGAUGCUUAAAAUUGGCCGAGGAGUAGUUGGGAAGACGAAAGCAUGAAAAACACAAAGGGGUAAAGAGAUUUUACUGUUUCAAGAGGCGGCUUGGCUUACUGUACAAUGAUGGAUAAUACUACCAUAUCAAGAUGGAGCUUGCACAUCGUAGAUGGAUGUAUAAUCGAACUUAUCCUAAUCGUAGUGGGUUGAGGGAGGAAUUUAUAGAAGGGGUCGCUGAAUUUAUGGCUAAAGCGAAAACACUUCAUGAAUUUCUCAGUGAAGGGGUGAUUAGGUGCCCUUGUGUGAAAUGCAAGUGUGAAAAGUUAUUGCAACCUGAUGUUGGUAAUAUUCAUCUUUGUAAAAAAGGCUUUAUGGAAAAUUAUUAUGUAUAGACUAUUCACGGAGAGGAUGUUGCUAGUGUUGGUGUUGUCGAUUUUCAAAAAAAUUUUGGUAGUGAGGGUAGUCCUUUAGCAGAGAAUAAUGUUGAAAAUUCUCGAUUCAAUGAAAUGGUUAGGGAUGCUUUUGUGAUGCACCCGGGGGCUCAGUCUGAACCAAAUGAUGAUGCUAAGUGCUUCUAUGAACAGUUACAGGAAGCUGGUCGUCCAUUGUAUGAAGGCUCAAUACAUUCUAAGUUGUCUGUUGCGGUUAGACUAUUAAGUAUUAAAUCAGAUUCGAGUAUUUCCCAAGCGGGCAUGGACUCUAUCAUUGACCUUAUGAAUGAACUUAAUCCGAAUAAAAUUGACCUACCCAAAGAUUUCUACACAGCAAAGAAACUGGUUUCUAAGUUAGGACUUUCAUCCGAGAGAAUUGAAUGUUCUGAGAAAGGUUGCAUGUUGUUCUAUAAGGAUGAUGCAACUUUAGAAAAUUGUAAAUUUUGUAACCAACCUCGUUACAAGGAAGUCACAAAUUCCAAAAUGAAGAAUAAGGUUCCAGUAAAGCCGAUGCAUUACUUACCCUUUAUACCUAGGUUAAAGAGGUUGUAUGCAUCAAUGAGCUCCGCUCCUCAUAUGAGAUGGCACUAUGAAAAUAGACGGCCACCCGGUAUUUUAUGUCAUCCGUCAGAUGGAGAAGCAUGGAAGCAUUUUGAUAGGGUGUUUCCGGAUUUUGCUAAUGAACCAAGAAAUAUUAGGUUGGGUUUAUGUGCAGGUGGAUUCACUCCAUUUUCUGUCUCGGCUGCACCAUAUUCAUGUUGGCCGGUGUUUGUUACGCCGUAUAAUCUUCCUCCUGAGUUGUGUAUGACAAGUCCAUAUUUGUUCCUAACCUGUAUUGUUCCAGGUCCACGCAAUCAGAAAAGUUUGAUUGAUGUAUAGAUGCAACCUUUAUUGAUGAGUUAAAGUUAUUGUGCCAUGAAGGUGUGGAAACAUAUGAUAUAUCAACUAAACAAAACUUCAGAUUGCGUGCUGCUUUGAUGUGGACUAUAAAUAAUUUACCUGCCUAUGGAAUGUUGUCCGGGUGGUCGACUGCGGGAAAGUUAGCUUGCCCAACUUGUAUGGAAGACACAGAAACAUUCACGUUGAAACAUGGAGGAAAGAACACAUGGUUUGAUUGCCACCGUCAAUUCCUGCCUAGGGAUCACGAGUUUAGGAAAAAUACUAGUGCAUUCAUGAAGAACCAAACUAAUUUUGAGGAGCCACUGUCACCAUUGUCGCCAGAAAAAAUUUGGAACAGAGUUUGGUCUCUACCUAAGGUAAUAGAGUCUGCAAUGUCUAAUAAGAUAUCUGGUUAUGGUGUUACUCAUAAUUGGACUAAACAGAGCAUAUUUUGGGAGUUACUAAGCAUAACCUUCUUCGGCAUAAUCUGGAUGUCAUGCAUAUCGAGAAAAACUUUUUGACAACACAUUUAAUACUGUAAUGGAUGUCAAUAGCAAGACAAAAGAUAACUCAAAGGCUAGGAUGGACUUAAAGGAAUAUAAUAGACGAAGUGAGUUGUACCUGACAUACAUGAUAAACAAGAUUCAGAAGCCCAAGGCCAGUUACACAUUCACUUUCGAUGAGAGAAGAGAUAUUUGUGAUUGGGUUAAGAAUUUAAGGAUGCCUGAUGGAUAUGCGUCAAACUUAUCUAGGUGUGUUGACAUGAAAGAAGGGAAGUUGACGUCUAUGAAGAGCCACGAUUGUCAUAUUUUCCUUGAAUCAUUGAUGCCUAUUGCGUUCAAAGCCUUACGUGAUAGAAUAUGGAAACCCAUUACUGAGAUAAGUUUUUUCAAGGAGUUGUGUUCUAGCACAUUGAAGGUGGAGAACCUAGCUUACAUGUAGAGUAACAUUUGCUUAACUUUAAACAAGCUGGCAAAAAUUUUUCCUCUUGGAUUUUUUGAUGUAAUGGAACAUCUUCCAAUUCAUCUUGCGCAAGAGGCCCGACUUGGAGGGUCUGUUCAGUGUAGAUGGAUGUAUCCUUACGAGAGGACUAUUGGAAAAUGUAAGUGGAACGUGAAAAAUAGAUCCAGGAUUGAGGGAUCGAUAUGUGAGGCACAUCUGGCUAAAGAAACUUCUUUUUUCUGUUCAUAUUAUUUUGAACAUGAUGUGCCAUGUUUGAGAAAUAUGCCAAAUCGGCAUGAUGAUGGAGGUGUUUUUGAUCGAGCCGCGUGCUUCUAUGACAUAUGAAGCCUAACCGUUUGGAGGAAUGGCGUCAAUGUCAACUCGAUUCCGAUGAAGAUAGUUCAACCCAAGUGUCACUCAAUGAUGUAGCUUCAAUAUGGACACAAGUGGUUGGUGGCGCAAAGAAAGGUAGAAUCUACGGUCUUGGAUCACAACAUUCCGUAGGUCGUUCUACGACUUUAUUGUCUGGUGAUGCAAGUUAUUUGCAGAAUCACGAAGAGGUGGAAGCAUUAUGAAAAGAAGUUGAAGAGUUGAAGGAGGAAUGUAAAGAAGAUCGCACAAAUUUUAACAAAUUGCAGAGUCUAGUGGAGAAAUUUAUGAGUGGACGUCCAUUUGAUCCUUCGAAUGGCGAUGAUGGCGGGGAUAAUGAGUUUUAGUUUGUUAUGGUAGUGAUGUUUGAAACAUUAUUAUUUGUUGUGGUUAGAUGUUUAGACUUGGUAAUGUUUACACUUGACUAUGAUUGUAAUAUUUAAGACUAGAUUGAAUGGUGCUUGAAUGUUUAACUUUUUUUGGAUAUUUUAGUUACAAAUAUUUAUAUUUUCUAUA